GCUUGACCUCCCUGUCACUAAGGUGUGCGUCUCCGAGGCCCUCUGGGUCUCUUGGCCUCGUGCUGUCUUCACAGCCUGCUGCCAACGACCACCCUGUAAUCAGGGAUCGGGUCUUUGCCCUCUAGUCUCUUGGCACUUGGCCAAAUGCAGCCACUGCCCUGAAUGAGCACCCUGUAAACAGGGUACAGGUCUCAUGUGCUACUAUUUCUGGCGCCCCCAUGAGACUGUGUCCAGAGUUCCGGCCCUUCCAACAGCGCUUCCAUCUUGCCUGGAAUUCUGCUGCCAAAUCUCCUGCUUUCUACUCACUUUUUGGACUCUUGGAGACCUGACAUGCUAUCGGUGGCAUCAUGAAGCAGAAGUGGAGAAGAAGGCCUAACUUGUGUAUUUCUCACACAUUUCUAAAAGGAAGCUGGCAACUGGCAGUUACUCUCCGCACUUCACAACUUUCAAACAGCUACUCUACUUAAACGGUCACACCAACCAAAGUGUACCACACAUUCAAAAUUAACUUUGCACCUAUUGUGUCAGAAGUGAGAGUGUUUUUAGUAGUUGUGUCCAUUGGUGGAAGUGGCAGUAGUGGUGUUUUAGUAGUCUUUUACGCUUAUUGAAUUCAAAGGAUGAUGAUGUGGAUGUUUUAGGUAGGUAUUUUUCUGUUAAGUCUUGGUAUUUGGGUAGAGGUGCAGUAUUUUGUGAUUAUGACUGUUUUUCUGGUAUUGGUUUAGUGUGAAUUGUUGGCAAUUUUAGAUGUUUUUGUAUCCGUACAUUAGUAGAUGUCUUUAGAGGGCAAAGCUGAGGUUGCCUGCUUGGUGCAAUUUGGUUGGUGUGAAAGUUAAUUUCGGGUAGGUGUUUGAAAGCACUGAGGUUUGAAUUUUUAGCUCAACAGGGAUGCAGGACCCACCUGGCUACCUCAGUUCUUACUGUCAUUCCUAAUUCCAAAAUCUUGGAUGAAGAUGACCAGG